UACGAAGGGAGCUAGCGUUGUUCGGAAUCACUGGGCGUAAAGCGCACGUAGGCGGAUGUGUCAGUCAGGGGUGAAAUCCCGGAGCUCAACUUCGGAACUGCCUCUGAUACAGCACGUCUUGAGUCCGAUAGAGGUGGGUGGAAUUCCUAGUGUAGAGGUGAAAUUCGUAGAUAUUAGGAAGAACACCGGUGGCGAAGGCGGCCCACUGGAUCGGUACUGACGCUGAGGUGCGAAAGCGUGGGGAGCGAAACAGGAUUGAGAAACCCGG
rnacentral:rRNA from 1 species